rnacentral:lncRNA from 1 species
UACUCCUUCACUUGCUCAUUCUGCAAAAGUUUGUAGAUCUUCUGCAAGGAGAACGGCAUUGUUAACUACCUACAGGAAGUGCGUCUUCUCUGGAGAAGUCAACAGUGAGAUGGGCUAAAUGAAGAAGGAGCAGCUUAUUGUCUUUGUUGGUUUUCUUUAUUUUCCUUCGAAGCAUCUGGGGGAAGAGGAAGACAAUGGAUGAGAUGGCGUAUGUUCUUUCCGCCCUGUGAAUGAAUCAGAUUUGAACUCCUAAGCAAAAUAGAAAAUGCAGAAAUGGUGCUCAGGCAAAACCUGAGAGACACCGGGCUCAAGCGACUCUCCUCUGAAGUCCAUCUGAUAAAGUCUGAAUUAUGGAUAAGUCCUUUCCCCCUCAAUAGUCUACUGCUUACUAAAGUGUAGCUCAAUGACUCUGUGGGCUUGGGUAAUCAGCAGGUAAGCAUAGCUAUGCCCAAUGAAGCAGGGGCUGUGAGAAGAAGCCUUGAAGAGUACCUAAAGUAGAAAAUAAGUGAACUUUCUCCUAAGCCCAUAGGAAACAUCACUAUCCUGCUGAAGGCAGGGCAGAGGGAACACAGCAGAGUAGGCUCAGAAUAACUGGGAUUUGGGCACUGAUAUUAAUGUCACCAUAUCUACACUUAUUGAUUGUUGAGAUUAUACAUUUGGCUUGAAACCACAGGAACUAAUAUACUCUAAAUAUAAGCUGAGAAAAAUUAAAAAUAACCACAACUACAACAGUAGAAAGAGAAAAUAUAUGAAUGCCAAGAAUCUAAUGUGUAAAUUAACUACAAGGGUUUAGAAGUUUUGGGCAUCUCCCUGGGGAUUAGCUGUGCUCAGUCUCCCCUCCAGGAAAUCAUUUACAACUCUAUGUCUGUUACCCCAAAAUGACUUAAAUGAAGUUUAGGAUAAGACAGAGACAAGUUCAGAACAAGACAUGGGUGAGGUUCAGAAGAAUGAAAUUGAAAUUAUAUGAAUUUCCAAUUGUUAGAGAUGCAUGAGUGAGAUACAGGUUUUCAAGUGUUGUGAUGUCAUACCAUAAAAUGAUUAUAAACAUUUAGGAAACAAUCUCUCCUGUGGAAUCAGGAAUCAUUACUAAAUAUCACAAUUAUAGUGGAGACGCUGAAGAAGUCAAUAUAUGUGUUCUGAAAAACUUGAUUAAAUAAACUUCAAGGACACAGAGAAAGGCGCUGUGAUCUGUUCUCUGCAAAGGGCCUGAUAUAUUUAGAUUUUCAUUAAGAUGGGCUGAAACACAAAAUGUCUUCAGUUAUCCAGGAAAUGUAAUUAACCACUUCUUAAGAUUUCUACUUAAUCAAUGCUAUUUUUCCCCAUAUUUGGUUAAUUGAACUGUCUGCCUCCACUAUAGUCUGAGGUAUGUGGCUAAUUUUGGCCAGCAAUAUCAAGGACAUGAAACUCAAGGUAAUUUUUUUCCCUCCAAAAUAGCCUCUAUAUUUUCG